rnacentral:tRNA from 1 species
GAAGGUAUAGCUCAGAGAUAGAAUGUGUGCUUAGCAUGCACGAGGUCCUGGGUUCAAUCCCCAGGACCUCCA